GGCUGGUUAGCUCAGUUUGUCAGAGUGUGGUACUGGUAAUACCAAGGUCCAGGGUUCGAUCCCUGUACCAGCCA